rnacentral:rRNA from 1 species
AGAGUUUGAUCCUGGCUCAGAAUCAACGUUGGCGGCGCGCUUAACACAUGCAAGUCGAACGAGAAAGGGAGCAAUCCUGAGUAAAGUGGCGUACGGGUGAGUAACACGUGGGUAUCCACUCCUUGGCGGGGAAUAACUUGGGGAAACCCGAGCUAAUACCGCAUAAGCCCGAGAGGGGAAAGGCGAAAGCCACCGAGGAAGGAGCCCGCGGCUGAUUAGCUAGUUGGUGAGGUAACGGCCCACCAAGGCGAAGAUCGGUAGCCGGCCUGAGAGGGCACACGGCCGCACUGGCACUGAGACACGGGCCAGACUCCUACGGGAGGCAGCAGUGGGGAAUCUUGCACAAUGGGGGAAACCCUGAUGCAGCGACGCCGCGUGAGCGAUGAAGCCCUUCGGGGUGUAAAGCUCUUUCGGCAGGAACGAUAAUGACGGUACCUGAAGAAGAAGCUGCGGCUAACUACGUGCCAGCAGCCGCGGUAAUACGUAGGCAGCAAACGUUGUUCGGAGUUACUGGGCGUAAAGAGUGCGUAGGCGGUUUGCCAAGUUUGGUGUGAAAUCUCCUGGCUUAACUGGGAGGGUGCGCCGAAUACUGGCAGGCUUGAGUGUUGGAGAGGGGAGCGGAAUUCCUGGUGUAGCGGUGAAAUGCGUAGAUAUCAGGAGGAACACCGGCGGUGUAGACGGCUCCCUGGACAACCACUGACGCUGAGGCACGAAAGCGUGGGUAGCAAACAGGAUUAGAUACCCUGGUAGUCCACGCCCUAAACGAUGCAAACUUGGUGUAGGCAGUUCAGUCUGUCUGU